UCGUGGCCCAAUGGUCACGGCGUCUGGCUACGAACCAGAAGAUUCCAGGUUCAAGUCCUGGCGGGGAAG
rnacentral:tRNA from 1 species